UCCCGAAAGCAAGGCAAGGAAUUGCAGAGAGCAACAUUGAACGUGCAUUGUGUUUAGGAAGUAUGAGGCCUUGGAUGUUAACUUCCAGGCUCUGCAGGGUUUUGGACUCGGAAGUCUCGAAUCAACCACAAGGAAGGAGAUUGAAUGUGUCCAGUAGGUCAGACAUCAGCUCUUCAGCAGCUGAAGCAAGGCUGCCUGAUUAUAUUCAUAAUGAAAGCAGCGUGGUUGUCAAGACCCUUCUCUUGGAAAAACACUGCAUUGAAGGCCCCAACUCUUUCAGUUAUUCAGCAGUGUCAUUAACCCCUCCUGACUUCUUAUUGUGGCCCUGCUUGCAGGGCCACAUUUGGAUGAAGAAUUACUGUGACUCUUUUGUUGGGCUCUGCUCUCUGAUUGAAAGGACUGGAGGCUGAUUGUCUGGUCGUGGCCUUGACUCUGAGGUAAAUGGGUUUGGAUAAA